rnacentral:rRNA from 1 species
GAUGAACGCUAGCGGCAGGCUUAACACAUGCAAGUCGAGGGGCAGCACGUCUUCGGAUGGUGGCGACCGGCGCACGGGUGAGUAACGCGUAUGCAAUCUACCUUUUACAGGGGCAUAGCCCGGGGAAACCCGGAUUAAUAUCCUAUAGUACCAUUAUAUAGCAUUAUAUUAUGGUUAAAGUUUCGGCGGUAAAAGAUGAGCAUGCGUCCUAUUAGCUUGAUGGUAAGGUAACGGCUUACCAUGGCUAUGAUAGGUAGGGGUCCUGAGAGGGAGACCCCCCACACUGGUACUGAGACACGGACCAGACUCCUACGGGAGGCAGCAGUGAGGAAUAUUGGACAAUGGGCGCAAGCCUGAUCCAGCCAUGCUGCGUGCAGGAAGACGGCCCUAUGGGUUGUAAACUGCUUUUAUACGGGAAGAAACACCCCUUCGUGAGGGGACUUGACGGUACCGUAUGAAUAAGGAUCGGCUAACUCCGUGCCAGCAGCCGCGGUAAUACGGAGGA